UACUGUGAAUUUUGCCUCACUGACUUGUAUACUGAUUUUCUAGCUUAUCCAAAGAAACAAAAAUGUAGACAUUUUCCCUGUAGUCAAGAGAAGUAGGACGGAGGGAGAUUUAACUCAAAAAAAUGUAUGAUUUAGUAAAAAGAAGUUGAAUUAAGUUAAUUGUUGUUAGCAAACAGAGUUUUAAAGGGGGGGUGGGGUACGGGAGUAAAAUAAAGUAUUCAUAUAUAGCUGUAUAGCUGGAUUAAAAGGGAUCAUAUUUAGUGCCAGCGGAAUGAGCCACUGCUCAGACUGUGAACCUUUGGUUUUGUAUUUUUUGUUUUUUUCUCUGCUAAUUUUUGCCAUGCUAGAGUAAGGAAUCAAGAAGAUUGGGAUUUCCACUCAUAAGUGCAUCUUAUGAUCCAGUUGUGCUUAUCCUCAGAUCUUGUUUUUCCCCAUUCAGCUGACUCUUCAGGACCUUGAUUUAGCGCUUUGAUUUAAUUCAACAUUGUGAUUUACCAAUUGUGUUAGAAGGAUACAGGGAUUCAAAUUGUGAUUUAAGCACAGCAAAACAUGAUCCACAGCUGCUAUGAUUGGCAACUCCAAGCAUAGGGUAAUAAUUGCAAAAAUUAAGCUUUCAUUAUUCUGACGGUCAGAAUUUGUUAAAGUGGAAAAUUAUGAAGUUUUUUUUUUUAAAUAUCACUCUAAAUUAUGUUUGUUUGUUUGUUUGUUUUAAUCUAGAAUUUGUGUUCGUACUUAGUUUUUUCACUGAAUUCGCCACAAGCUCUGAUCACCAAGUUCUGCAUCGGUGAUGUUAAGGCUUAUAUGUUUAAUGCAGUUAUCAAAAUACCUGCUUAAUAAAACUGUUUCAACAUUUAAAAUGUCUGAUAAUAGAAAACCCUUUGAGCUAGCUAUAAUUUUUUAUAUAGUCCUACGUUUCCCUGAAUCUACAUGCAUAAGAAGUAUAGAGGCCAACAAAGGAUGACACACAUAGGAAGUUUCAAAACAGCUCUGGUUUUCUGUUGUAAUAACCACAACUGUAUGUAAUGUCAAGACUAAUGAUGCAUAAUGAUGCAUGACGCGUAAUGCAAUAAAAA
ensembl:lncRNA